UUAGAAGUUUUAGUAACGCCUCUGUGAUAACAUAUUUAAGAAAAACCUUGUUGCACAGAAGAAAUUGCAACCAGGGGAGAGCAGAGGGAGAACAUGG